AGAGGAAGUAAAAGUCGUAACAAGGUCUCCGUUGGUGAACCAGCGGAGGGAUCAUUACUGAGUUUACGCUCUAUAACCCUUUGUGAACAUACCUAUAACUGUUGCUUCGGCGGGUAGGGUCUCCGCGACCCUCCCGGCCUCCCGCCUCCGGGCGGGUCGGCGCCCGCCGGAGGAUAACCAAACUCUGAUUUAACGACGUUUCUUCUGAGUGGUACAAGCAAAUAAUCAAAACUUUUAACAACGGAUCUCUUGGUUCUGGCAUCGAUGAAGAACGCAGCGAAAUGCGAUAAGUAAUGUGAAUUGCAGAAUUCAGUGAAUCAUCGAAUCUUUGAACGCACAUUGCGCCCGCCAGCAUUCUGGCGGGCAUGCCUGUUCGAGCGUCAUUUCAACCCUCAAGCUCUGCUUGGUGUUGGGGCCCUACAGCUGAUGUAGGCCCUCAAAGGUAGUGGCGGACCCUCCCGGAGCCUCCUUUGCGUAGUAACUUUACGUCUCGCACUGGGAUCCGGAGGGACUCUUGCCGUAAAACCCCCCAAUUUUCCAAAGGUUGACCUCGGAUCAGGUAGGAAUACCCGCUGAACUUAAGCAUAUCAA
rnacentral:rRNA from 1 species